UCUGACCCUUUCUGGUGCUGGGCAUGUGGGUGUGGGUGGUCCCAUCAGCCACUCUGUCCCUGGGGUGUAGCAGACCCCUCAGGGUGCCCUGUUGCUAGAAUGAGGGCUGGAGUGUUGAGUGCACUGUGAUGUAAGGUAUUUCCGGUUGCUUAGCACAGAACUUCCGGUGAAGUCAAGAAGCUCGGUUGGGUUGUCUCAUGAUGACUCACAGCAGGACAAUGACGAGAGCCGCCCUGUUAGCUCCGUGUUGGAUUUAAAACAGUGCUGUUCAACUCUUGGACUCAAGCCAUCUUGCCAGGUUAGACACAGAUGUCACUAUCACGUCUGGCUCAGUGUUCAUUCUCAAUCUGGUUCACAAUCGUACACGAAGCAGAGCUAAGCAUCUAACUUCUAGAGUAAAGCGGAAGGGCCGGCACUUCAUUCCUAUGUCGCCUACAGCCUGACUCAAGUGUAAUUCAGUAACUAUUAAUUGACUAUGUUAACACACAGUUUAAGAAAGCCACAGAUUGUUGAGGAUUUUGAAUGAGUUGAUCUUAGAUGAAGCUGAAGACUUCAGGUACCCCCUCAGGCUAUUUGGCCAACGGUAGCUCGAGCAGCAUUGUUUGGCUGCUCUGCACGGUCCCUGGGCAUAGCACUGACAUUUUCAGGGGUAUGGGGGAAUUAAGAUCCUCAGAAUCAGACCGGUCCUACUGAAUCAGAACUGCUGUCUGCAAGAUCUUGGAAAAUCCUUUACCAAUUAAAGUUUACGAUUCCCUGCCAACGCUUUCCAUCCAAGGAUCUCGAGCCAGCUUGGCACAUAAGAGGACAUCACCAGAAGGGCCCUAACAGUAGCUGUCUUCAAGCCUCAGGAAGAGGAAUCUCAGCUCACUUCACCACGUUUAACUUCUAGACCUGCAGUUCCUAGAGUGUGGUCCCUGAGCUGGAAGCCUGGGAAGAAAAGGUUACUUCUGACAUCCUGAACCCCAAACUCCAAGCCCAACCACCUCCCUUGGAAACCUGCUUGGCACCCUCCCUAUCAAACAAUGUGCCUAUCUCUCAGAAGAUCUUGGAAAUUCUGAAGUACAGACUGUAGUUCAGAAACCUCUGGGAGUGACACACAGGCUCAAUAUACCUCAAAGUUCUAGGUAUGUCCAACCUUUGGAUUUUGUGAUUGGAUAUCAUCAACGACAGAGUUCGCACUCAAGUUCCAAAUUCAUCUCCUAAUUCUUGUAAAAUUUGAAAAUAAGUUCACGAUUUUGUGAUGGGCCAUAUUCAUAACUAUUCUGGGCACAGCCAUCACUGGUGAAAUAGGAUCUCUCUUCAGUCCAUUCUAUCGGCAGUCAUGGGUAGAAGCUAGUGAUCUAUUCCAUGGCCAAACCUACAUGACAGCUAAGUAAUAGUUUUACACACACACACACACACACACGAGUCACUGUGCUGCAGGCGGUUGUCAGUAGGCAAUGUUCUCUGCCAGGACAUGCUCACACUGUUUAGACAUAACAGAAAUGAAUGAGGCCAUUGGAGGCGUAACUCAAUGUGCUGCUUAAUCAUUAAUGUUCUUUCUUUUUAAUUUUGUGUAUAUUCUUCAGAGUGGGUGCCUGUGUGUGUAUGUGUGUGCCAUGGUUUGUUUGUAUAGAGGCCAAAGGGCAAUCUCAGUGUGGGACGUUGCCUUCCACAUUGUUUGAGGAAGGGUUUGUGGUUCAUUGCAAGCAGGAUGUCCUGUCUCUGUCCUUCAUCUUGUACAGGAGCUGCUGGGAUUACAGAUAUGUAUACUACCAUGUUAGCUUCUUUGUGUGUUCCGGUGAUUCAAACCCAGACCUUCAAGCUUGCACACUGAGUGCCUAACCCACUGAGCUAGGUUUUUCUGUACAGAGUAGGAAUUCAUGAUGAAUUAAGAGUGAAGGUAUCAUAGGGUUGACACAGAAACCAGCAGCAUAGACACCCACUGUGAUCAAGCACAACAUACUCUGUAACUGUGUGCUCUACGGUGCUUAGCUGAAGGUGUGCGGGUCUGUGUCCUCCAACAUCAACUAGAAUCUGUGAGCGAUGUAUUGCAUCAGGAUGCUACAGUAUUGAUUAUGUCAGACAAAGCGGGGACUCUCCAGCUUCAUUGUACCCCAUGCCCUGAGCUCCUCAACAUUUCACAGUCCCGAGUCCCUGCUCUCUGGUGCCCACUUAGGGAUACUGGACCCUGAAUCCUAAUGGCCUAGAUCAGUAGUUCUCAACCUAUGGGUAACAACCCCUUUAAAGUCAAAAGACCCUUUCACAAGGGCCGCAUAUCAGAUAUCCUGCAUAUCAGAUGUUUUCUUAAUUAAGAAUCAUAAUGGUAGCAAAAUUACAGUUAGGAAGCAGCAAUGAAAACAAUUUUAUGGUUGAUGACCCUCACAACAUGAGGAACUGUAUUAAAAGUUGGCAGCAUUAAGAAUAACCACUGACUAGAAUGAUGGCCCACCCCAACACCCCAAGAAGGUUUUCCUCAUUCACCAUGCUUGCCUUCCAUAGCACACAGGUUUACAGACGUGUGUCAAGGCUUACUCACAUACUGCUCGCAUAGAUUGCAUACCCCACAUGCUUUCUGACUUGACUCUGGGACUUGUAAAUGGAGCCCUUCCAGUGUGGCUUGGCUAUUGAGGCUAGAGGUCACAAAGAGCCACCUGAGGCCAAGAAGCCCCAUGAUCUUUCGGCCUUGCAAACUGACCCCUCCAAAGCACUGACACCAGGAGUCAGAAAGGAUCUGUAUCAUCUGGAUAUUAAGCAGGUAACUGAGCCUCAGUUGGUCUUGGAUUCAAAUCAUGGCUCUGUCCCCGUCUUCUUCCAGUCCACCAAACAAGACUGGUCAUGAGUGAAAUUUCCCUUGAUUCUAGUCUCUGCCCAGCUUGUGUACCACACGGGAGACCAGCCACUCCCUUCUACGCAUGUCAGUCGUGUCCUUCCUAGUGAUGUGUUGUUGCUCCUGAGGGUUAGUGGGCAGAACACAUGUGUGAUAUUAUGUAAAGGGUACAGAACAUGUGACAUGUUUUCAACAUUAACCUUUGUGCCAGUUAGAUCUCUGACUCAUCCACAAAGCAUACACUUCAUACUAUCUCCAAACACUGGGUUGCAAUCUUUUACUUUCUGGCACUUGUAGUAUAGAGGUCAUCCAUCAGAGUAUCAUCCUCCUCCUCCUCUUCCUCCUGAGACAUGCUCUCUCACGUUGGCCCGGAUUUGUUAAUUAGAUUAGACUGGCUGGCCAUCAAGUGCUAAGGAUCUGCCUGUCUCUGCCUCCCUAGCACCAGUAUAGCAAGCGCCUACCACCACAGACAGCCAUUUCCCCUGCUGUGGAUUCUGGACAUGAAUUUGGGUCUUCAUGCUUGCACAGCAAGCACUUUGAAAGUUGAGCCAUCUCCUCACCUUGUUAACGUGUUAUUAAAAUGCAGACGAAUCAGUUUCGGCUCCGAGAAAUGAAAUGACCUCCUCAGGUAGGUAUUUGGUAUGUAAACCCAAACAGAUUCCACUGUCUGGCUUAGAAUCUGGUUGAUGAGCAAAUCGAUGGCGUCUGCAUAGGUUCUUCCUCUGCCUGCUCCCAGGGCACAGACACUGCAGCCUCUGUCUUCUCUCCGUGUUUCCAAGCUAUGGUCUGAUUCGUUUCCCACUCUCGCUGCCCCAUACUUUUGCUUUUCUCUUCUGCAAGCUAGGUUUCUAAAACCCCUCUCUCCUCCAUUCUAGGCCUUGAUUUCCCACUGGACACCAUCACACAGACCAGGCCUGGAAUUUAAGCGUGGCAUUACCACACACACACACACACACACACACACACACACACACACACGCAUUCGCUUGCUUUCUCUUGUCUAUUUUUGUUAACAGCCUUGCCAUCUUCCUUAGCUGUUGGAUCCAUGACUGCAGAAGCAGUUGUUGAACGGAGCUUCCUUCUACUUAGCAGCUGCUUCUCCAAACUCACUCUUUUACAUAAACUCCUCUCUUAAAGGCUUUACGACCCGCUCAAUAGCAACUGACCACCACCAGGACUCCUAUUUUCCCAGGAAUUAGGUGGCACAUUAGCUGGAAUCUUUCUUGGAGUUAGGGCUUGAUGCUCUGUAUUCAUUCUUGUCUUCCCUGAGCUGACCUGGAGUCUUACUAUGUAGUCUAAGUUGGUUUUUAACCUUCCAUCCAUCUGCUGUGGAUUCUGUUUUAGCAGGCAUGCACCACCCACAUCCAACUCUGGUGCUCAAGGAGCCACACGAAGAGCACUGUUCUCUUUCAGGAAGGUGUCUUUCAGAAACAGACACUCACCGUCAAAUGUAGAAGGUGAGUUGCGGCUGAUGUCAGGCUCCGAGAGGUGCUGGAUGGCCAGAGCGGUUGGAAUUGAACUGGCGACGCAGGAUGCUGUUACUGAGUGAGGAGGGCCAUAUGUCAUGCUCACCUCCCCAUUGCCUCCUUAAUGCGCUCUCUUCUAAAUAGUUCCAAGUUUGCAGGCAAGCUCAUUCCGUGGUGAAUUAAAAGCUCUGAGGUCUGAGAACAUCGGGAGAUGGCUUCAAAUUGUUCACGUUUGAAUAACAAAUGGUUUUAAUUGUCUGGGCUAAUUAAUGACAGCCAUUUGCAACUCUCCAAGCCCAGAAUUAGAGCCCAGGGUUCAACCUCUCUUCCCUUAACUUCUACUUAAAGUCUGAGUUCUCUAGACAAGCUAUUUACUGUGUCGACAUGUGAAUCUCUCCAAUUAUUUGGCAAGAUUCAUAACACACCAUCAGGGAGCGAAGGCGAGAGAGAGAGAGAGAGAGAGAGAGAGAGAGAGAGAGAGAGAGAUUUUUCAAAGCUCACCCAUGCCUAAAUCCAUGAAACCAGUAGCCCCUAAUCAGCAGCAGCAGCCUCUUGUCCUAGGGCAGCCCCUGGACUGGAGAGGCCAGCCACAUGGUGAGACUUGCUCUACUGGCCAGCAGUGUACAGAGCAGGAACCAGGAGUCACAGCCUGGGGAGUGAGUGAAAUUCACCAAUGACACAGAACAGGUUUUUAGGAGUCCAAACUAAUUCACCUGGAAUUUUGCCAAACUCAAAAAGGGGGGGAAGCCAUAACAAUUUCCUUUCUGCUAAGAAUAAUUAUGUGAAAUGUCCCCAGUGGGGUUGCCACCUUAUUAAGUACCCAAUUGUGAUCCACGGCUGUAAGGGCCUAGCUAACGACAUGACGGAUGCUUUGUAUGAGAUCUAUAGGAAGGACGGGCAAAGUUAAAGGGUUUGUUAUUUGGAAACAUGAAUGCAGCUGAAGUUCAGGGGCUCCUUAGGAAAGCACGUCUUUAACCGUAAUUAUUGGGCAUUAUCAGUCUCAACAAUGCACAGACUGGCCAUCACGCUCCGACUUCAUUUUCCUGUAAAUUUCAGCCUACGUCCGCUCCAAAAGCCGGCAUCCUGGAAGGACACCACAAAUCUAAUUAUUUGAGCAUUGUUUAAAGAACCAAGUGCGGAUGGCGGUCGACCCCCUUGACAAAUCACCCACUCUCUCUUUAUUUAAUCCCCCCCCUCCACUUAAUUUGAUUCUUGUCCUUCUGUAAGAAGCAGCUAGUGUUCUAGUCACCACAAAGGGUUAAGUACGAAUGCUGUGAACGAGACGCAUAAUCCUCAAGGCCUCAGAGCAUUAAGACAUGUCUGCUCCUUAGGGUCCAUCUUUGUCCAUAAUCAAUUUCUUCCCUUGGAGAACAUUAAUUGUCUGUAAUGAUAGCUUUCCGUCAAUACAUCCUUGAUCUUAAAAGGCCCGUACAGCUUUUUCCUUUAUUCAAUCAAAUCAUCUCUGCAAUUGCCCCCCUUUAGUAAGAUAAUACCUUUUAAGCCUUGUAUUUUAAUAUAAAAAAUGAGAGGUAGCUGCAAAGUCUAAUGGGAGUGCUACCGUUUGAGGACCGGGAUGAUGGCUUCCAUUAUCCUAAAUAAUGUUUGAAGAUUACAGAAAGCACUGUGUUUCAAAAGGUGGAAACUAAUCCACCACUUUCAAAUUAUUCCUUGCAUAAAAAUCUGUUCUGACAUUAGGACUUUUUUUUUUUUUUGCCCCAGUGACAGCACGGUAUAUUUAAAUAUUUGAAUAUGAAAGAUAAUUUUUUCCUGUUCUGAAAAAGGCAAAUAAUUGCUAUUUAUAAGGACAAAAUGCUGAAUAAUUCGUGGGAUUGACGAUUUGAAACACCAGAGCCUUUUAUUUUGUUAUUCUCCUGAUAAGCCAUUCCCACACACUUCACUCAAACCCUCGCCACCCUAAUCAGUAGACACUAAAAUUAUUUAAUUGAGAGAGAGCGAGAGAGAGAGAUCUCCAUGACCUCUGAUGGGCUGCCUUCGCCACCGUCUGUCUUCCUGGACCUGUUUUUCUAAAGGCGUGGAUCGUUUUUCUAACUCGUCAUUUCUGUUGACAGUUUCUGUUCAGACAGACCCUGUUUCUACACCGCUGUAGCUGGUUCAUUGGACAAGGCAUUGCAGAGACUACCCCAAUAUUUACAAUCGGUGAGGAAGCUUGAGAAGACAUACCAGAAGGACAAAGGCUGUCAUUUCUACACAAUCCUUUUUUUGUGUAAUUUCUAUAUUCAGUAGGAACCUAGCAACAUUUCCAUAUUGCAUAUAAAGUAUCAUUCUUAUCACUAAAGAUUAGGAAGCUCUCCACGCCAUAGUCCAAGACUAUGCCUCCCUCACUUAAGCACUCGAGCGCAAACACACACACACACACACACACACACACACACUCACACACACACACACCUGUCAGCAUUUUAGGGCCAACAUAAAGAAGCCCUGUGGAAUGUAAUUAACUGCAAAGACCAGGUGAUCUAAAAACCUAUUAAAAGAAAAUACACUUAUCACAGAGAAAAGGGCUAAGAACUAAGGAGGGAGACAGAAACAUUGCUCUCGAAUUUCAGGGUUUUCCAGUAGUAUACUCUACAUACUACAUUUAUGUCCUGAACUAAAAUGCAAGCCAUAUCCCAUAACUAUUAUGUCUGCAAUAAGAAUGGCAAAGGGAGGAUUCUGGGAGAGGAAGGAAAGGUGUCUCUGUAAUAGAUGAGCGCACACUAACAAAUGGUUAACCUAACAGAACAAGGCCAGUUAACGACCAACACAAGGGAUGGGGAUUGCUGUGGAAGCAGACCAACUUUUUCCACUGCCCCGAUUAGCACCUAUCUGCCCUUCUCCACGGUGCUUUCUUAGUAUUUAUAAAUUAUCAUUUAAUUAUGCUGGCAAAUGGUAAUUUCCAAAUAAAACUCAGAUAGGGAUAAACCCUCAGGCUUCACAUAACAGAAAAAUAUCUGUGAAAGCUGGAUCGAUCCACAUGCUUACAAAGUAAUUUCCUUUCUUCUUUUUAUCCUUGCCAACAAAUUAUAUGAACCGGCACUUUGUGGUUGGUAUGCAUUUUGAAGUCUAUGCAGAUUACAGAAAAGAAAAAUUAGUUGCUUCAAUAUCUCCCAUUCCCAAAUUAUUCUGCUGGUUUAGGGAACCACGUGCGGGGGGAACAAAAGAGCCAAAGAUCAAGCACUCUAAAGCUCCCUCUUCUCAGAGGUGGUGCUGGGGGUCACUUUUCAAUUGAGAAAAAUCAAGAUUUGGCAAAUUCUUUUACGUAUUUAUAAUGGUUUUUACAUAAAAUAGGAAUCCAAACAUGACAUUCAUCCCAUUAGGAGAGAUACAGAAAUUUCUAUAGAAAUUCCUUACUGAGAUUUAAUUAGAACCCAUCCACCCCACCUCUUUUCCAGCAAGUAGUGUUAAAAAAAAAAAUCUUUUUUUUUUUUUUUUACGUCUAGCUGCAGUACUUCAGCCAUGGAGAAUAAACACAAAUAGAGGAUUACAGUCCCUGGAAAGAUAAGUUGAGCAUCAAGAGGCUAUUUAAUUUACAUCUAAUAUUAAGACAACGUUAGCUACGUGUCCAGCCACUUCUAAACGGCUUUUAGUUGCAAGGCUGAACAGAGAAACACAGACAAUAUUGUUCUCUCGCCUUCUUGCAAGCAAGAGAUGGAUGUGGAAAUGCAAAGCUACACACACACGUGCAUGUGCAUGAAAUGUGCACGAGUACUCACAGGUUCCAGUGUACACACAUGCACACGCACACACACUCACACUCACACGCACACACACACUGAACAAGAUCAGGGUUCGACCGUAGGCAAGGUCAUGACCUUCCUCUCUUGCAGUUCUAUUCUCCUUUCUUUCCUCAGACAUCCACCAUUUCUUUUGGGCCUGCAAAGGUACCACAUGCCCUCCUGCCUCAGGCUGCACAUGCCUCCCUCUGCUGAGGACCUGCUCUAACUGUCUACCCAGCUUCCUCAUGCAGCUUCAAUCCCUCCAUCUACCUAAGGGCUUGUCAUUCUGCAGAUCUCACUUUGAGAAUUCUGUUUCUGGGAAAGCUGCCCACCAUCCCCACACCUCCAUCCAGGUGCGGUUUGCUCGUUAUUGUCACAGCAAGCACAUAGCUUUUAUGGGAUGUCACAUGACCCUAUGUUCUGACCAGAGCUACACGGCAGCUAGUGUAGGAGAACGCUCAGCACACCGGCAUUAAAUGACUUGCCUAAGAAUCCACAACCAAGACUUGAACCCGUGGUUGAAGUGUAUACUCUUAACCCCCACUUCUCUCUGUCAGAUUUACAAGCACUAUCCAGUAAUUAGCUUUUUUUUUUCCAACCCCCGAAUUUGCAAACACCACGAGGAGGCCUCAGAUCACAUCUUUUUCCUCUCAGGCUUGAUCCGUAAAAAGAAGUCGAUAAGUCAUUAUUGAAUCAAUGACUGAACAUUAGCUCCAAAUAAACUCGAGGUCUGUGAGCUCAGGACUCACGUGUGUCUCUGACUUGUCUGAGCCACCGAUGGUUUAGAGCCGGGCAGUGCCCUGGUCUGAGGAUGUGGGUUAGCCUGGCCGACAGAAUCCCACAUGCUUGGCUGACAUGAGCCUGGCAGUUUGCUUUGGCCUUUGUUUUGUUGUCCUUAUUGUUUGAUGGGUUUAAUUCCUUUCAUCCUAAAGCCUUUUUACUAGAAACCAAAAUGUCCUAAGUGCCAUUGAGACGUUAAAACACCUAAGCUCCAGAAAACAAUGCCCUCUCUACAGCAUUUCUUUCUGAGGCAGCACAGGGACUCCUGGUCAGUAGCAUGUAUUUUUUAAGUGUAGAUGUAAAAACACACCCUACUCUGAAUGCGUAGAAAAAAAAAUGGUACAUUUGGCAUAUUUUCCAGCCAAAGUGCAGGGCGCUCCCUAGGUACAAUCUGUGUAUUAUUAAUACUUAUUCACGACGAACAGGAAUGUUAACAAUGUUUUGUCAAAAUGCAUAACUCAUAUUUGAAUAUGCAGUCUAGCCUUGAAUAAUUCAAUUCACAGCACUCAUUUGAAAACUUAGCCAUUUUCCUGUUUGAGCUUUGUUUGUUCGUACUUUCAGAGCAUUUUAGUCCAUGAUGUGAGCUAUUCAGCAACCGAUGCAAAUUUUCUUUUUUUUUUAAGAAAAAAAAGGGAAAUAAAAUGCUUUUUAGUAAUCAAAAUAUAAAAACACAUCCAGAGUGGUACUUGGGAAACUGAACAUGACUUAACCCCCAUUCAGGCAGCCCUUUUUAAGUAAGAGAUGUGCCUACUCGGGCUAUUAAUUGGGAAUAGCAAGGCUAAGAUGCAUUCGUGUCUUGUAUUCAUGCAUACUUCCCAGGUACUCAGGGAUGGUUUUAGCUCCUCAUUCUUAACCAGAGGCACUAUGCUGCUGCAGUCAGGAACCCUCCCCAGAGGAGCCCGGCCUUCAGAGAGUGCACUGGCUUCUGCGGCACAUUGUUUCAACUCCUUACAGUCUGUACACCACCGCACUGAAGCACUCGCCAUUAUAAUUAGAAAUUUAGCUUUUAAAAAAAUAAAGCAUUUACUCCUCAUUCCCCUAAGAAUAAAAUACAAUGGGGCUGGCGUCAUGUACCUGUAAUCAUAGCUAAAAAUGAGAGGGUCAGGAGUUCAAGACCAUCCUUGACUACAGGUCGAGCUUGAGGCCAGCCUGGGCUACAUAAGACUGUGUCUCAGAAAAGUAAGCCUGUCCAAAAAAAAAUUAAAAUUAAAUACACUCCUAUCUAAUUAAUAAAAUUAAACAUUUAAAAUAUAUCCCUACUUGGAAGUGGAAGAGAUCAUUGAAUAGAAGGUCAAGUGCUUUGCUAAAAAAAAAUUAAAGAUAGUGGACAAUUAUAACUCAUUUUGCUUUAAGAAAAAAAAAAACCUGCAGCCACUCCUCUGUAUAUACUGAGCACUCUGUGCUCUGUCUACUCCAGGUCUUAAUGUGGCUUCUCUGUAAGGCUGUGCAAACUUAGUACCAGUGAGGCCAUCGACACAGUGAAAGUCUAGUAUUUAUAAAGUGCAAAUAAUCCCUCCCCUUUAUGUGGAUAGCAGAUGGUACUUUGAAUGACCCUAAGGCCAUCUUCUGAUUCUUCAAAGAAAAGAAUUAGGCUUGUGGAUGCUGUAGUGUGAGGAUUAAGCCUUGUGAUUCUAUUCUGGGACUCUCAUCCCGACCACCCACUUGUGGAUAUAUGCUCAUUCUUUUCCAUUAACUGAGGGGUUCUGGGAACUUGGAACUGAGAUUUCUGACUGCUUUGUAAAUGAGCAGAGGACUUAGUGGGUUGUAAAUCACUAAAUGAGACGUUGUGGAGACAACACAGGAGAACAGCCUGAGGCUUUAAAGGGAAGACAGCAAACUUGCCAAUGUUCUGGUCUAGUUUUCUAAGCAAUAUUGGGGAUUGAUAGGGAUGCUAUCAGGAGACUAAGGGGGUUGUUCAGUCGGUAAAGUCUUUUGCAAGCAAGAGGAUCAAUACUGGUUCAACAUUGAGAGCACACAUUUCUUAAAAAAGGUACGUUGGUGAACGCUGGGAUGCUAGAACUGGGGAAGGGGAGACUGGUUGGUUCCUGGGGCUUGCUGACCAGCCAGUGUAACCUGCCAGCCAGUUCCAGAUGAGUAAGUGGCCCUGUCUCAAAAGGAAAGGUGGAUCGUACCUGAGAGAUGAAAUUUCUCCUAUGACUUCCCACACAUACACAUACACAUACACAGAGAAAUGAUGGACCCAUAAAAUCACCCACAUGAUACUAUCCAGACGCUACUCCUCAGAGAGCACAAAAGAUGCAAAGCCUUCCCUGUCCUGAAAGCUAAUUAAAAGAUGUCUGCCUGAUGGUUAGGUAAGAAAAAUAUCCCACGGCUACACAAUAGGAAGGUAGUAUAGACCACACACUUGACUCUGAAUGUUUCAGGGACCACAUUUGAAAAGCAAACAGAAAGGUGGGAUCAACUCUAUACUUAAUCAAUAUAGUCAAAGGAUUAUCAUAUUAGCACCAGGCAAAUCUAACAAUGUAUUAAUGAGGUAAAUUAAUGAGAUAAAUAACAUUCUUUUUUUUUUUUAUUAAGUCUUCGGUGUGCAGGCCACAUUCGAGGUGUGCCUCAGCAUGCACUGGCUACCUCUGCAUGAGCUCCACAUGUGACAGUCACUACCAGACCCACUGCACUCCGUUCACUGAGCGUUUGUUCUCACUCUCCUCAUACGUUCCAAGUUAAUAGUGUUUUGUAUCAGUGGUUCUCAACCUUCCUAAUGCUGUCACCCUUUAACACGGUUCUUCGUACUGUGGGGACCCCUCUGAACCAUAAGGUUAUUCCAUUGUUACUUUAUAACUGUAGUUUGCAACUGUUAUGAGUCAUAAUAUAAAUAUUGAUAUGCAGGGUAUCUGAUAGGUGACCUCUGUGAAAGGAUUGUUCAGUCCUCACGAGGUGCAAGACACACAGGUUCAUAAGCAUGUUUUAUAGCAGCUCGUGCUGGGAGGUGGCUCAGUUAGUCCUUAUCUUGCAAGCAUGAAGGCCUAGUUUGGUACUCACAAUUUAUAUAAGAGCUGAGGGUGGUGGCCUGUGCUUGUAAGCCCUGGGUCUGUUUGGCCAGCUUAGGCUACUCAGGUAAGUCCUACACGAGUGAGAGAACCUGCAUAGCACGUAAGCAAUGACAGUCUAGGCUGUCCUCUGUACUCCACACACAUGUGGGUACACACACAAGUAUCUCAACUUCACAGGUGCACACAUGUAUGUACACAUACACAAAUAAAUAAGAAAUAAAAUAUAAGCUGUAUUUUAAAGGUAAAAAUUAAAAACCUGUUUUUUUUUAAA